GACGAACGCUGGCGGCGUGCUUAACACAUGCAAGUCGAACGAAGUCUUCGGACUUAGUGGCGGACGGGUGAGUAACACGUGGGAACGUGCCUUUAGGUUCGGAAUAACUCAGGGAAACUUGUGCUAAUACCGAAUGUGCCCUUCGGGGGAAAGAUUUAUCGCCUUUAGAGCGGCCCGCGUCUGAUUAGCUAGUUGGUGAGGUAAAGGCUCACCAAGGCGACGAUCAGUAGCUGGUCUGAGAGGAUGAUCAGCCACAUUGGGACUGAGACACGGCCCAAACUCCUACGGGAGGCAGCAGUGGGGAAUCUUGCGCAAUGGGCGAAAGCCUGACGCAGCCAUGCCGCGUGAAUGAUGAAGGUCUUAGGAUUGUAAAAUUCUUUCACCGGGGACGAUAAUGACGGUACCCGGAGAAGAAGCCCCGGCUAACUUCGUGCCAGCCGCCGCGGUAA
rnacentral:rRNA from 1 species